UGAUGCCUACUUGGGACAUUCAAAUCAACACAACAUAAAAAUUUCUGAACCUAUGUCUCAUAGAAGAGUGGAAUGAACUCCAUUGUUAGCAGAUGUGUCAUUGUUUUAUUGUGUAAUUCUGUCUGUUCUUGCUAUAUUUCUGUGUAAGGAAAUGUAUUCAUGAGAUGAGUUAUUGUGUUAUGUAAACUUGGGAGAUGUAUUAUGUGAUGUUAUAUGAUGGAUGAUUUUAAUUUGACUUGGAGUUUUCUUGAUUUGAAUAUGAAAU
rnacentral:lncRNA from 1 species